AGUUUCUUUGCCUAACUCUGAGUUGCUUGAGUCACAUUUUUGCAUGGUUCUUGAUUGACUUUCUGGUGCUCUGCCUGGAGGUCUUUGCUUAUCUGUGAGUUGCCUGAGUCACAUUUUUACAUGGUUCUGGUGCUCUGCCUGCAGGUCAAGAAGGAGCCAGUAUCUCCAGGAGGAGUGAGAGAGUGCUCUGCCAGUGUGAAGUGUGAAUCCUUGAGAGGCUGUGGCAAGGGUCCAUGCCUGAAUGUGUAGAACAAGAACAGCUGGAGGCUGUGGCUUUCUCCAGGAAGAGGUUUCUAAAUCUGCCUCUUAGAAGAUAUCAGAAAGUUAAAGGUAAAGCAGCUACGGCUUAGAAAGGCUGAGGAACUUGCCUGAGGCUAUCCAGCUACUGAGAGAUAAACUGGGGUGUGAAUUCAGAGAGCUUGACUCCUGAGGCUCCACCUGUGCCUAUAAUUCCAG
rnacentral:lncRNA from 1 species